GAGGGUACAGCUCAGUGGUUAGAGUGCAUGCUUAGCAUGCAAGAUGUCCAUGGUUCAAUUCCCAGUACCUCCC
rnacentral:tRNA from 1 species